rnacentral:rRNA from 1 species
GUGAGGAAUAUUGCGCAAUGGAGGCAACUCUGACGCAGCCAUGCCGCGUGCAGGAAGAAGGCGCUACGCGUUGUAAACUGCUUUUAACCGGGAAGAAACCCCAGGACGUGUCCUGGGUUGACGGUACCGGAGGAAUAAGCACCGGCUAACUUCGUGCCAGCAGCCGCGGUAAUACGAAGGGUGCAAGCGUUAUCCGGAUUCAUUGGGUUUAAAGGGUGUGUAGGCGGAGCGUUAAGUCAGUGGUGAAAUCCUGCAGCUUAACUGUAGACUUGCCAUUGAUACUGGCGCUCUUGAGUGCGCUUGAAGUGGGCGGAAUGUGCCGUGUAGCGGUGAAAUGCUUAGAUAUGGCACAGAACACCAAUUGCGAAGGCAGCUCACUAAGGCGAUACUGACGCUGAGGCACGAAAGCGUGGGGAUCGAACAGGAUUAGAUACCCUGGUAGUCC